CCGUCACCUGUAUGACCAAUUCCGUGACAGUAAGUAUUUCAACUGGUUUUGCAUUUCGGAUUAAACCCUGACCUAUCCACCUCUAUGCAUAUAACAUUCAUCAUACCAUUAAUGACAUGCUUAAGGUUCUUUCACUGCCUCGCGAUAGUGACACCCUAGAGUAAUGGGAACUUUGCAACAACCCAACUACUGCCAUGACAUGGAACUACAAUUCAGGACUGCGUAUUUGCUAUUCUGUGUUUUUGAGUGAAUAGAAGGAAAUGAUUUUGCUGAAAGGAUUUUUUAAUUGCCAUUUUAACCAGACAGUAACCCUUUUUAUUUUUACUUACAGGAAUUCUUUUGGAAGAAAAUAACACACCAGGUGUUUUUUUAGCUUUUUUGUUUUUUGAUCAUGUUCAAAGUUACUACAUCAUCUAGUGAAAUAAUUCUAUUCCAGGUACAUUCCAAAUAACAAUUAUCUAUAUAAAUCUCUUAGUUUUCUAAGCCAGCACAAAUAUAAACACCCUAUCAAAUAUUCUCAUAACAUCAACUUUAUAAGACAUGGACUAAUUUAUAAAAACCUCUUCACCUAUAUUCAAAAUAUUAACUAAUAGUAUAUUUUGUGUUUGCACAAAGGGUGAAAGAGGGUCAGAAUUACUUUUGCCACAGGGCAGCCUGAGCACAGGAAAGCUAACGAGAGACCCCUGUAGGUUGGCCGAAUGUUCCCUUGUCAUUGAGCCAGGGGUAUUGCUGGGGGAGAAACCACUCCUAGCUCUGGUCCCACAGUGACACAGACGAAGCUGUUUUGCUCUAAACCCUGUUUCCUUUUAUUCAUCUUUGCACAACUGAAUUCUGUUUGUAGCUUCCAUUGCAGAUCAAUGAGUCUGCAUGUGUCUGAGUUCCGGCCAACAGAAUGUGGAAGAAAGUGGCAUCCUCCCCUUUCAGGCUGGUUCUUAGAAACUUCCUGAUAUGUUCUCCACUGGUGUUUGGUUUUCUUUCAUUUUGUCAAGGGGAAAUAACAGAACUGAAGAGUCUGGGCUGGGUUCCUGAAAGACUGUGUGGAGCAGAGUGGCCCAUGUUUCCCAAAGGCUGGGAUGCCCUGACUAGGAAUACCUGGAGGCAUUCAUUUGGGUCAUACUACCUGUGGCUGCUCUCAGGUUGCAACACCAGAUAAUGACUUCAGUCCUAAAGUUAGCACUUCGGCUGCCUUCAAAGGAGUGAAGCACAGCACUGGAGCCCUGUGAAUGCCCAGAGGCAGAUCGGUGAAAGUGGACCAGCGGUUAUGUUCACCUUCCCACAUGGAGGCCCAUCUAACCCUAAGAAAGUCAAAAACUAUGGAGAGACACAGAGUAAAUAAAAUAGCAAGAAGCCGCUGCUUGUUGGCAGCAAGACCUUGGGUAAAUUGCCUUAUCUUUCUGGAACUGCGUUUCCUCAGAAGGAUUUAAUUAAAUGGUCUCUAGUUUCCGUUUGAACAUUGACAAUCCAUCAUCUUAUAAAAUGGCACCAUGAAGAAGGAUAAACAAGAAAGCCAUGUUCCUUCCAAGCUGAUAUGAUAGAACAUCAAAAAGCAAAACACUCUGCUUUGUUAAAUAAACAAGGUAAAAACUUGUA